AUGCCAAAUCCAACCAAUCCACCCCAAAACACAGCCACCAUGCAUGAGGGAACACAAUUUUUUCUGAUUCAUCUCAAAAUCCCACCACCUCUUCUGUGGGACCCAAAAAUCUGUACCAAUCCAACCGAAAAAUCCCAUAAGACCAGGGAGGUGCGUGGGGCAUCACAAGAUAUGUGCCACACUGUUGGGAUCCCCGUAAUGCCACCACCUCCAUGGGAACGUCAGUUACCACAUCAGGACUUGACAUCACAGCAUCCUAGCCGCAAAAGAGGAACUGACAGCAGCUCAGCACCACCCCCUGCCUCUGCUGCAGUCUCGCUGUCCCCAAGCUGCCGCUGCCUCAUGGCACCAAUGGCCGUGGCCCUCAUCCUCGGUUGGUGGCUGGUGGCUGUAAGCAGGGCACAGCAACGUGAGUAUGGGGACAGGGGGAGAAUGGGGACGGAGGGAGAGGAGCGUGGUCAGGGGGCCAGCAGGGGGGCCAAGGAGGGUGUGCAGGGACAAGGCUGACUGCUGUCCCCUGUCCUAGUGCCCCGACCCUCCCUGUCGCUGCACCCCAGUCAGAGGGUGUCCCUGGGGGACACUGUCACCCUGCGCUGCCACCUGCCCCAGCCAGCUGCCUGGGUCCGACUCUAUCAGUACGAUAAUCCAACAUACAUUGAGCAGAAGGACAACGUGCAGGACAUGGCUGAGUUCUCCUUGGCUGAAAUAAAGCAGGCAGAUGCAGUAAUAUAUCAGUGCCAGUACCAGGGGUUGGCACCUGCAAGGACAUCGGAGAAGAGUGACCCCGUGAAGCUGGUGGUGACAGGUGAGGGCACUGGGGAAAGCAGAUGGCCCUGGGCUGAUCCCACAGGGCUGUGUUCCAUCUCUGUUACCUCUCUGUGCUCAGAUCACAGCUAUCCCCCACCUGGCAUUUCCCUCAGCCCUGAGGAAUAUGUUGAGAUAGGGAGCAAUGUCACCAUCCGCUGCUGGAACAACAUCUCUGGGGUCGCCUUCUUCCUGCACAAGGAAGGGCACUCAGCUCCAGUCCAGCACCAAAAACUCAGUGCUGGGGGCAUGGCCUCCUUCACCCUCUUUGGGGUGACCCCAGCUGACUCUGGCACCUAUAGGUGCUCCUACCGCAUCAGCGGCUGCUGCCUUCUGUUCUCACCCUUGGGGAUAACGUGACCCUGGAAGUGAUUCCCAGACCUGCAAUCCCAGGUAGGUCUGAGCCCUCAUUCAGUGUUCCCCUUCUCACCCAUGGCUGACAGUGUCACUGCAUCCCUCAUCCACUGUGGUGAGAGCUGUGUAUGGGGACACCUAAUGCACUUUGACCCCACAGGUGACAAUGGGGGUCCCAGCAGGAACCUGGUGGCAGCAGUGGCGGGGGGCUGUGCUGCUGCCAUUGUCUUCAUCAUCGUCCUCACUGUCUCUUUCCUCCUUGUUGCUCAGAGAAGACGAAUGCAGACAGAUGAGAGGCCUGGUGGGGAAGGGGUUUAAUGGCUUUUAUCCCCCAUACAUCCCCUAUAGAUCCCCACUGGUGCUGUUUAGCCCCUCCAUAAUCCCACCCAUCUCCCCUCCCGUUUAUGACUCAGGUGCCGCCUCCAGAAGCCCCGAGGCCAUGCAGUUCCAGGUCAGUGUCUGGGUCAGGGACCCCUAACAACAAAAUGCCCCAUUGCCCACCCCCCUCAAGACCUCAACAGGGAACCCCAAACCCUGCCCGUGGGAACCCCAAGGAGCCCUCUCCCUUUUAUGCCUUCCCUCACGUUGUGUGCACCCUCAAAUCCAGCCCAUGGGGACCUCCAAAUCUCCCAUGGGUAUGCCCCACAACCCAAACUGAAGCUCCCUGGCAUGCUCCAAGCCUUCAACACCCCCAGACUGUAUGGGCAGGCAACAUAUUGGGACCAUAGUGGGAACCCCAGACACCACCCUCAGGGAACCCCAAAGUCACAGUCACAGCUUCCCAAAAUCUACACCACCCCACAAUCCCAACUCCCUUCUCCUGGACAGCCCCCCACCCAUUACACAAU
rnacentral:lncRNA from 7 species